UACGGAGGAUGCGAGCGUUAUCCGGAUUUAUUGGGUUUAAAGGGUGCGUAGGCGGACGCUUAAGUCAGCGGUAAAAUUGCGGGGCUCAACCUCGUCGAGCCGUUGAAACUGGGUGCCUUGAGUGGGCGAGAAGUACGCGGAAUGCGUGGUGUAGCGGUGAAAUGCAUAGAUAUCACGCAGAACUCCGAUUGCGAAGGCAGCGUACCGGCGCCCAACUGACACUGAAGCACGAAGGCGUGGGUAUCGAACAGG
rnacentral:rRNA from 1 species